ACUCCUACGGGAGGCAGCAGUGGGGAAUAUUGCACAAUGGGCGCAAGCCUGAUGCAGCCAUGCCGCGUGUGUGAAGAAGGCCUUCGGGUUGUAAAGCACUUUCAGUCGUGAGGAAGGUGGUAGUGUUAAUAGCACUAUCAUUUGUACGUUAGCGACAGAAGAAGCACCGGCUAACUCCGUGCCAGCAGCCGCGGUAAUACGGAGGGUGCGAGCGUUAAUCGGAAUUACGUGGGCGUAAAGCGCAUGCAGGUGGUUUGUUAAGUCAGAUGUGAAAGCCCGGGGCUCAACCUCGGAAUAGCAUUUGAAACUGGCAGACUAGAGUACUGGUAGAGGGGGUUAGAAUUUCGAGGUGUAGCGGUGAAAUGCGUAGAGAUCUGAAGGAAUACCGGUGGCGAAGCGGCCCCUGGACAGAUACUGACACUCAGAUGCGAAAGCGUGGGAGCAAACAGGAUUAGAUACCCGUGUAGGAUAGCG
rnacentral:rRNA from 1 species